ensembl:lncRNA UBL7-DT UBL7 divergent transcript
GCAUAUGAAGUACGUCGGUUCUGCCAGGUUGGAACGCGCUGCUGGACACUCGGCCGUAAGGCGGAUCCCGGAUCCCCUCCCACUCCGACCCUUCCCUCCAGAAGGGCCGGUUCCCAAACGGCCCCUUUAGACACAUCCAAGCGGUUGCCGACGGCCCUCACGAUGAAAACUGCUGUCCGUUGGUGAAGGCAGCCUCUUCUGUGCUCCUCGCCGCUGACUUCCUGAGGCGGACCUACCUGUGGAGGCAUACCAGGAACCAGACGAUGACCCCCUCCAAAAGUUGGGUCUUUGAGGAGAGCUACUAACUUGGGUUCCUGGUACACCCUCUACAUGCAGUGGUGAAGCUUAUCUAACAGUCAUUCAUAGAAUCAGUUUGGGAAGGGGAAUUUUCACUGAACUCUCAUAGAGAAACUGUGUUUUAGAUAACAGAAAGUUCUGCACGGUUAAAAUGGAACAGAAAUUUUUUUGCACAGAAAUUAGGAUUACCGAAAAUACUGAAGAAAGACUACCUCUGAUUGGACUCUUCUCAAGGAAUUAAUAAUUCAAGAACUAAGGAAAGAAAAAAGUGAUUAUAUGAAAAUACUGAAGUUGAUCGUAGCAGCUGAAGGCUGAUCCUGUGUGGGUAAAUGUAAACGCUGAAUUCCCACAUUCCAAUGUGCGACCUGGGAUUAAGGCAGCAAUUGAGCAGGGCUGAAGUACAUUGGUGCAAUCUUGGCUCACUGCAUCUCCACCCCAGGUUCAAGCGAUUCUCCUGCCUCAGCCUCCCAAGCAGCUGGGAUUACAGAAUGUCACAUAAAUGGAAUCAUACUGUGUCCGGAAUUGGUGGGUUCUUGGUCUCACUGACUUCAAGAAUGACGCCAUGGGCCCUCGCGGUGAGUGUUACAGCUCUUAAGGUGGCGCGUCUGGAGUUUGUUCCUUCUGAUGUUCGGAUGUGUUCGGAGUUUCUUCCUUCUGGUGGGUUCGUGGUCUCGCUGGCUCAGGAGUGAAGCUGCAGACUUUCGCGAGUUAUGUCAUACAUAGGAUAUUUAAAGGAACCUCACUCGUCUCAAGUUUGGCCGAGACACCAAAACAAUAAGGUCACACUUCAAAGUUACGGGCAAGUCCACCAAUACAGGAUUUGCAAAAGAAGAUUAUAGAAAACCAAUUUUCAUGCCGGGCGCGCUGGCUGACGCCUGUAAUCCCAGCACUUUGGGAGGCCGAGGCAGGUGGAUCACGAGGUCAGGAGAUCGAGACCAUCCUGGCCAACAUGGUAAAACUCCAUCUCUACUAAAAAUACAAAAAUGAGCUGGAUGUGGUGGUACGUGCUUGUA